AGCAAAGGUAGCAAAGGGUGACUCAAUGUUUGUCAUAGUUCGGUGGAGCGUGUGUGGUUUACCGGCACAUCGAAUAGGUGACUGUAACAUGUGAGGGCACCAUGUAAGUUUGCAUGGUUAUUCACACCCGCUUUGUGAUCCUCGGCAUCCAGUCACAAACAAGAGGGGCAUAUCGAGAUUUAAACAUGCCAUUGAAAUGUUCAAUGAAUCUCAUAGGAUCUAGGCGUUUUCAUAGAUUUAAAAGUUAAAUUUCUUUUUCGUUUUUCAUGGUGGAAAUUAGUGAAUCGUCAUUCACUUACCUUCAAAUGUUCUGCAAUUUGGGUUACGACAUCCCUCUCCUGAGUUGUAGAAUAUUAUGUUGGGUCCUAGCCUUAGUAUCUCAUUUGGGUGAUUUACUAAGGACUCAAUCAAUCAACUAACUUAAAUUUAUUUUCUCCCGUUUUGUAAAUGUCAAAGUUUGACAACUAUGGUCUUCUCAAAUCCCGUGGAACAAGCAUUCCACAUGAAGAUGAUAUUCCACGAUUCGAUCGAGGAACAAGAAAUCAUGCUUCAUUUCCUCCACCUCCUCCAAUUAUUCUCCCUAACCCACAAGUACGAAGGCUUGAAAAGUUCAAGAUCACUCAAGCCCUUUUGGCAAGUAAACAAAAGAAGGAAAGUCGGUGUGUGCACACGUCCUAGGGAUGAAGUCACACAUUGAUAGGUUAAGAAUGUUGGGAUCCGUUGUCUGUGGGGAGAUGGCUAUUGAUUGGGUUCUUCAGUCACUUCCUAACUCGUAUAGUGAGUUCGUAAGAGAGUACUAUAUGAUGAACCACGACGUAAGAGAGAUGGUUGUUGGAAAGCACAAGUAGGAUUGGGGACAUAUAAUCAUAUAUGGGAGUGAUAUAGCCUGAUCAACUAUAUCUUUCCAAGAAGUGAUUAGCAUGUGCCUAGGAAUGGUUGUGAUGUUGCAACAAGUCUAAAAACUUACCAACACUACUACAAUGAAAACACUAGAACAUAACAUAAACUUAAAAUACUAUAGGAGUAUUUUGUGUUACUAUAAUUCUUAUUUGAGAACUAAAGGUUUUUAUUUGUAGGUCAAUAGUUGCUUGGUGGAUACGCUAAGGUUAUAUGUGAUUAAGGUGUCAUAGACUUAGAAUCUGUGAUCUUUGCUUUAUUUCAUGUUCCUUUUUUGGUUGUGGAUUUGGAGUUAGGGUCACUUAUUCGAAGGUCUAUCCUUUUUUGAUUUCAUGUGACUGGUAUGCACGAUGCAAGUAUUGAAGUAACUGAUAAAGAUCAUCCUAUAAAUACCUUAAUUAGUAUGUCUAUUAAUUAUUUCUUUUAUCCCUAUUCCCGCGUAGAUAAAAUGGUUGGAUUCCAUCCCCACGGCGACUCGUACUUUCCCAACCAAGGUAACGGAGGAUGGCUCGAUGCAGAGCCAGAAAAAUCAUCCANGGAUGAUGACUUUGCAGAGAACUUUUCGGAGGAUUCUGACUCCGAACCCGAAGUCAAUAACCUACCCCCAGUGGUUUAAAUCCCGAACCCUAACCCCCGUCCAACAUUUUAAGGCCCCACACCUCUGUAGGCAACAAACUUGAACAGAUGGAGCCAAGAACAGGGUCAACCCUUACCUUACAACGGGGAUCGAAGCUUCUAUAACUUGAGCGGGGGAGGCUCAGCGAACAGAGUCCUGCCUAUUCUGGUCCGCAGGAUUGCUUGUAAUGAUGAGCAGGGUAGAGUGGCCAUCAACCGAAUCAUGGAAGUUGAUGCCGAUGCAGGAGUCAAUACCAUACGCAUUCUCCAUCUAGAGUCUUCUUAUGAAAGGACUCAGAACUAGAAUACGGCCCUGCAGAGAGAUCUUACUGCAACCCAAGCUGCAGUCAGGGAACUUCGAGCUCGUCAAGCAACGUAUGAAAGGCGCAUGAGAGACAUGGAGCGCCGUCUGUCAGAAUCAAGGACUCAUUCCAGUGGUUCUCGUCGUAGAUAGAGCCUACUCAACUUUAUCUUUUGGAUAUAACUUAAUUCGAUGUAAAAACUCUAGUUUUAGUUUCCUAUCUAUGAUAAGACUUUGAACUUGUUAAGUCUUGUUAGGUCUUAGUUCUGUCAAAAUUUUCCUAUCUUGGUGUGCUGUAGGACCUACUCCUAGGUCAUUUUUCCCGAACUUGCUACAUCUGUUAUACCAAUAUUAUUCACAAAUAUCUAAUCUCAUAGAAAUUAAUAUCCAAGUGCUUUCAUCUUUCCAAGUACUAGAUCUACAUUCAAUCAUACUUUCAUUGUGUUGUUGGGCUAUGGAGAGUUAGUCCAUGAGUCACUCUCAUCAUUCUCUCUAUUAAAUUAUUAUCAAUAUCUUCAUCUUUGUGAUCUUAUAUCUACAAGAUGCCUCCUCAUCGAUCAACGAGGCGUAUUAUUCCAAUAACUUCAAGUCAACCACCAUCUCCUCCACAAUAUGAUUCUGCAGCCCUCCAAGCGGCAGUAUCUGCGACUAUUACGGCGGCCUUAGCGCAAUUCAACAAUAGCGGAACUAGUGGUGGUGUUGCAGCUGCCCAGUCUGCUCAGGGCGAUGCUCCAGUACAUGUUAGGGAGUGCUCGUAUAAAGACUUCACCGGCUGCAAACCCAUGGCCUUUAAUGGAACUAGCGGAAUCAUUGCCCUCUCACAAAGGUUUAAGAAAACAGAGUCGAUCUUUGAGAUCUGCUUCUGUCUGGAAGGGAGCAAGGUAAAAUUUGCCGCCUGCACCUUCGUGGACCGAGCUAUGACAUGGUGGAAUAUCCAUGUCAAGUCAUUAUCUCUUAUAGUGGCAAAUGCUAUCGGAUGGACUCGACGAGAACUACUAGAAAAACAGCCUUUUACAACGCGCAAUGCGUGUCGUAAAACGCUCAGACGACGAGCAAAUGCAUGUAAAGGAAGGCCCUAUCAUAAUGAGAGGCGACACGCUUUUGCGCGUCGUCUAUAGACGACGCACAUUUACUGUUGGAUUAGUGUCUAAGUCCAUAACUAUUUUGGUAUGUACUUGACCCGAUGGUGCAUGGUCCUUUUGGGUUGCCUUCACCAAAGCAACUUGAUAGGAUGAAUUAUGGAGAGAAAGGAUUAAAUAUGAUUUAUUAAUAUAUUAUGAGAAUAAUAUAUUAAAGGAGAAAUCAUAUUGUUUAAUUAAUAUUAGUCAAGAAUUAAUAAGAAUUAAGUUUGUGACUAAAAGAGAUUAAUUAAACUUAAGGGACUGGAAUUGUAAUUAUAAGAUAAUUGCAAUUGGGCUAUGGAUUGCCUUAUAUUAUAAGGUUGGACGAAUUCUAUGGGGAAACCCAUUAGAAAUCGUCCAAGGCCUUUAAGGAAAGGAGUCCAUGGGUUGCUUAGGGCUUAAGCAUCCAAAUUAGGGUUUCCUUGUUAGAUAACCCUAAUAGCCUCACUAUUUAUAGAGCCCUUAUGCCCCAAAAACGUGGACAAGCUUCCUUCUAGGGUUUCCACACGUUUUGGGCAGCCUCCUUCUCUUCUCUUCUUCAUCCUCUUGCUCUUGGUGUUUGUGAACCAUUAGAGGAGUGACAUUUGUGACUCUAAGCUUUCUAAAGUCAUUACAAGGAGGAUUUGAGAUUGUUAUUGCUACAUAACAAUCAAGGUAUGAUCUAAACCCUAAUUAUAUGUUAUAUUGAUUAUCAUAUGCUAGAUCUAGGGUUUAUAGUCUUGGAUAAAUUGCAUGUACAAUAGAGAAACCUAGAUCCAAGCAUUAGGGUUUGUAUGAGCACAUAGGAUGUUCUUAUGACUAAAACCCAUCAGUGGUAUCAGAGCCUUGAUUGGUUUCUAUUGUAUUGAUGCAUUAUGUAGCUGAAAAUCGAAAUUUGGCUUACUGUUCGACCUGACUCAGCGAGUCACAACUUGGACUCGGCGAGUCAGCCCUACUCGGCGAGUUCCAGAGUGUGACUCGGCGAGUCGGAGCGUCAAACAGAGGAAAUUUCAGAUUUUGUUGUUGUUUUGCUUAAGGAUAAUUACGAUAUUCGUUUUAAACCUAUAAAAUACGAAUUUUAAUGUUUCUUAAAUAAUAUCCUUGCCAAAACACAAGAUAAUUACCAAUUGAUUAGAUAAUAACUUCCUUAUAUGAUAAAGAUUGGAUUAUUUGUAUUUAUUGGGUAACUUAUUUUGCAAGAAUUGAAAUUAGGUCAAAUAUAGAUAAUGAUGAAAUUAAUUGUUUAAUUUAUAUUAUUUGUUAGUUGAUCUUUGUGUUAUGAAAAGUUUCAAUUUUUCCCCUUUAGGUUUUAUAGUUUAAAUUUAAACUCAAAAGUUUAGUUUUGAAAUUUAAAUAGUUGAAACCCUAAUGUUUUGAAAAGGUUUCAAAACUUGCCCUCAAGUUUUGGAAUUUAAAUUUUGAUUAAAAGUUUAAUUUUGAUGUAUAUUUAAAUUCUAAACCUAAAUGUUUUGAAAUGUUUCAAAACUUGCCCUCAAGUUUUGGAAUUUAAAAGUUGAUUAAAAGUUUAAUUUAGGAAUGUUAAAUUCUAAAACCCUAGUAUUGUUUUGAAAAGUUCAAAUCACACCCUUAUGGUUUUAUUAAUUAAUUAAGGUGUAUAAUUAAAAGAGGUUUAAUAAAUCCAUAAAAGUUUAGGUUUACAAUUUAAUUGAAUUAAAAGUAUAAUUGUUAAAUUUGACCUCCUAGUAUUUUAAAAGUGUAAAAUACACCCUAUACUAUAUAUAACAUUAAAAGUCUAACAUUAUAUAUAUGUAUGAGUAAAAGUCAGUCUUACCGUUAGUAGGCCUCAUUCACGAAGCUGGUCUAUAAGGGGUGUUUAAGGAAAUUGCCUAUAAAAUGGCGAUUGAAUGGGUAUCCACUCUUACCCACCGCACUCUUGACUAGUGGAGGGUCGUUAGCCGAACGGGUAGGAUAGGACAAAACCUUCCAUUAUAAGUAUAAUGAAGUAUAAAAGUAACUAAAUGUUUUACAAAUUCCCAAUCUUAGUUACUUAGGCAAAAGUGAAUUGAUGCAAUUCCAUGAAAUUACACUUUGUGCCCUUGCGAAGACGUUAGUGGAGCGUGUGUGGUUUACCGGCACACUAAAUGGUUCUAAGCAAAGGUAGCAAAGGGUGACUCAAUGUUUGUCAUAGUUCGGUGGAGCGUGUGUGGUUUACCGGCACAUCGAAUAGGUGACUGUAACAUGUGAGGGCACCAUGUAAGUUUGCAUGGUUAUUCACACCCGCUUUGUGAUCCUCGGCAUCCCAGUCACAAACAAGAGGGGCAUAUCGAGAUUUAAACAUGCCAUUGAAAGUUCAAUGAAUCUCAAAGGAUCUAGGAGUUUUCAUAGAUUUAAAACUUAAAUUUCUUUUUCGUUUUUCAUGGUGGAAAUUAGUGAAUCGUCAUUCACUUACCUUCAAAUAUUCUGCAAUUAGGGUUACGGCAUCCCUCUCCCGAGUUGUAGAAUAUUGUGUUGGGUCCUAGCCUUAGUAUCUCAUUUGGGUGAUUUACUAAGGACUCAAUCAAUCAACUAACUUGAAUUCGUUUUCUCCCGUUUUGUAGAUGUCAAAGUUCGACAACUAUGGUCUUCCCAAAUCCCGUGGAACAAGCAUUCCACAUGAAGAUGAUAUUCCACGAUUCGAUCGAGGAACAAGAAAUCAUGCUUCACUUCCUCCUCCUCCUCCAAUUAUUCUCCCUAACCCACAAGUUCAAAGGCUUGAAAAGUUCAAGAUCACUCAAGCCCUUUUGGCAAGUAAACAUAAAGAAGGAAAGUCGGUGUGUGCACACGUCCUAGGGAUGAAGUCACACAUUGAUAGGUUAAGAAUGUUGGGAUCCGUUGUCUGUGAGGAAAUGGCUGUUGAUUGGGUUCUUCAGUCACUUCCUAACUCAUAUAGUGAGUUCGUAAG
rnacentral:lncRNA from 1 species